rnacentral:lncRNA from 1 species
AAGAUAAUAAUUAUAAUCAUCACUAUCCAUGAUUAUUAUCUACUUUGGUCCAGCAGGGACCAAAGUAGAUAAUACAACAAAUAUUUCUUAAUUUAUAUUAAUCUGAUAUUGGCUGUCUAUAUUGAUAACUAAAGAAUUCUGUGAUAAACUGUAAUAUAAUCACUUUUCUUAUUAACAUAGGAUAAAUAUAAACAGAAACCAGAGCACAAGUAUGAAAACUGUGAGUAUCAGGAACUAAAAAUUAAAAGCAGAACUAAUUAAUUUAAUCUCUUACUCUAAAAUCCCUGAAAGCUGUCUAAAACCUGAAGACAUAAAAAUCUUAAAUAGUUAACUGAGUCUUAUUCUAUUUAUAUGCUAUGUAUAUCUAAGAUUUUUUACAUAUCUACUUAUAGCUACAGGAGAAAUUAUCUUAGUGAACUCUGGAACUCCAGGCUUAUGUUGGAUGAACUGCCUACUUCACUAAUCAAAACCAGAGAGAAAGCAGAUGAUCUCUGUUGGAGUCCAGAGCAGUUGCAUCUGCACCUCCUAACAGUACUGCCCAACUGCCUUAGGUAUGCUGGCAGAUGUAGUGCCAACAUGCCAAAUGAAUAUGUAGAAUAUAUCCAUUUGACUCCACAAUAGUGACCAGAAGGGUAUGUCUUAUAGGAGCAUCAUCACACUUAUAUCAUUGACUGUGAAGAAAGAACCCUAGUAUUCAUGAUGGAAAUGCUAACUUAAUAAUGAAUUCCCUAUCACAGGAAAAUCAUUCACAUCAUCAGCCAGAAUUGAAAAUAAUUGAUGCAUUGGUGCUUGCUUUAUGAGGCUGAACCCAAACCAGAGAAGUAAAAGAGUUGAUAGAGAAAGUCAAAAUAAAGAGAAAUUGAAUUGCAGAAUAAUAAACAGAAUGAAGUAGAAAGAUGGCAAUUACAAUGUUAGGUAUUAGAUAGGCUUUGAAAUCUAAUGCUGGGCAGUUGGAGAUUCAGAUUGGCCUGGUAUAUUUUGUAUUUUAACUUGUUUAGUAAUAGUAAAAAAAAUCAAAAAUUAUCAAUUGAUAUCACUGAUGGCAAAUCAAAAUCUUUUGCAUGUCAAAAUUAAGAAAAUUGGACAACAUACAUACACCAAAAUUCUACCUUGAAUUGUUUGAUUUGCAAUUUUUUGAAGUUGCAUUGUAAAAGAAUUAAGGCAAUAUUUCACUUUGAAUUAUUUUAAUUCAGCAUUUGUGUUGUUUCAAGAAUCAUUUUUCCUUAGGUAACAUAGUGGCUCGCAUUAUGGGAUAGUUUAGUUUUUUUUACCAUUUCAAGUAUAUUUCUGCAUAUGUACUUGGGAUGCCAUAAUAUGUAAAUACAGAUAUCCCUCCUAUAAUAUAGUAGUUC